rnacentral:sRNA from 1 species
AAAUAGCCCUGAUUGCAGUGAAAAGCUUUUUUGAUAAAAAUAUUGUUUUUGUGUUUUUAUGAAGCGACCAACGGAAGCUUCGAUAAAAACAGUACAAAAACAUAUUUUUGAGAAAAACUUGAAAUGAAAAGCAGGAAUAGCU